rnacentral:rRNA from 1 species
CCUACGGGUGGCAGCAGUAGGGAAUAUUGCUCAAUGGGGGAAACCCUGAAGCAGCCAAGCCGCGUGGAGGAUGAAGGUUUUAGGAUUGUAAACUCCUUUUGUGAGAGAAGAUAAUGACGGUAUCUCACGAAUAAGCACCGGCCAACUCCCUGCCAGCAGCCGCGGUAAUACGGAGGGUGCAAGCGGUACGCGGAAUCACUGGGCGUAAAGUGUGCGCAGGCGGGUUUGUAAGUCAGAUGUGAAAUCCUGUAGCUUAACUACAGAACUGCAUUUGAAACUAUGAGUCUAGAGUGUUGGAGAGGUAGGUGGAAUUCGUGGUGUAGGGGUAAAAUGCGGAGAUAUCAAGAGGAA